CGUUCUCAGGGCGGGGUGAAACUCCCCACCGGCGGUAAUGGCCUCGGCCUAGCCCGCGAGCGCUUGUCGGUUGUAACAGACAAGGUCAGCAGACCCGGUGCGAUUCCGGGGCCGACGGUAAUCAGGCUUCCUUGGCUUGUAAGUCCGGAUGAGAGAGAGCG
rnacentral:ncRNA from 1 species